rnacentral:rRNA from 1 species
UGGGGAAUAUUGCACAAUGGGCGAAAGCCUGAUGCAGCGACGCCGCGUGAGCGAUGAAGCCUUCGGGUGUGAAAGCUCUUUCGGCUGGAACGAUAAUGACGGUACCAGCAGAAGAAGCUGCGGCUAACUACGUGCCAGCAGCCGCGGUAAUACGUAGGCAGCGAGCGUUGUUCGGAGUUACUGGGCGUAAAGAGUGCGUAGGCGGUGCGGCAAGUCUGGUGUGAAAUCUCCCGGCUUAACUGGGAGGGUGCGCUAGAAACUGCCGUGCUAGAGUGUGGGAGAGGUAAGCGGAAUUCCUGGUGUAGCGGUGAAAUGCGUAGAUAUCAGGAGGAACACCUGCGGUGUAGACAGCUUACUGGACCAUACUGACGCUGAGGCACGAAAAGCGUGGGUAGCAAACA